UUCGCAGGUCACAGAAAGGCCCUUUACUUGUUUAACCCCUUUUCCUUUCCCUUCGUCGAUCUUUGCCAUCCAUGAUUCAAGCAUCAAACUUUCAUUGAAGCUCUGCCGGACGUUGUAGGAACCGGCACGUUGAAGCUCCGGUCGGCAACUUUAAGCUUAGCAAGGAACCUCAAUUGAAGGUGCUUUAUUUUUUUUCUUUUGCCCCUUUGAUUUUGAUUAUAAACUGUGAUUAAACAGUGGCUUAAGCAAUUUCUGUGUAAACUGAAUGUUAGUUUCUAUUUUACUUUGAAAGCACAAUUUUUCAGGGCAUAAUAUUGAAAUUUUUGGGCAAAGUUUAGGGUGUUUGUUGAAAUUCUUGCAUUUAAUCUCCUUAUCCGCCUGUUUGAAAAACUAGAAUUUUGUGAGAAUUCAAUUUAGUUGAUUUUUUUUUUCAAUCCUCAUUUUUAAAAUUCUCAUGUUUGAAUUCAAAUAAAAAAAUAGAAAUAAAGCAUGAUCGCCAAUUGAAUUAUUUUCUUGCAAAUAUGUUUGUUUAAUCGAACUGCAAUCUCAUUUUGUUGGCUGAAAUUGAAAGAAAUUCAAUUGUAUGGAAGAGCACAAUCAAAGAAAAGGUGUUUGUGAACUCCAUAAAUGGCUUGGAAGAAGUUGCUGUCUUUGAGAAGACUCUUAAUUCUUCUAAAACCUGACUUUCUAUAUUCUUCUAAAACCUGACUUUCUAUCUCCUACUUCCUAUUCUUCAAAAUUUCGCCACUCUUACUGCUCUGCUUCUACGAGUUUCAAGAGCUUUCCAUCAACAUUCCAGCACUCUCAGAGUCCUCCUUACUCAUCUGCUUCUUCUGCUCUCACCCUUUGGAUCUCGAUGCUGACUCUCAAGGCCCUGCUACAAUCGAUUACCGGCUUGUGUUGCUGUGUCAUCUCCCUUGUUUGGAAGAAAUACAGUUUAAAAGUUGUUGGUGACUUAAUGGAUUUCCCCUUUUAGAAUGAGGUUUUGACUUUGAAGCUCGGGGAUUUAGGCACCUAUUGGUUAUCUUCUCCAGUGAGGGUGUUAUUACGCAAGGGCACAAGAUUGGAUACCCUGCGUAUUUAUUCCUAUAUGAAAUAAUACUCUUGCAUAUACUUGGCCUAUGUGCACAUGACUGGACAUUUCACUUAUGCAUAACAAAUUUUUUGCUUCACGUUGGAAUAUGAUCCUGCGUAAUAUGGGGCAACAUUUUUCUUUUGAUGGCAUCGCCAGUAACCUCUUCCUCCCUUUCCAAGAACACCCUUCUCCAGAGGAAGUUAGAUUCUAACUGGUAUGUUCAAUUCAAAAAUUUUAAUAAUCUAAAAGCUAUUGUGAAAGGAUGAACAUCUGUGCUUCUUCUAUGUUUCUAGGGACUAGUACUACCAAGACGUUCACAAUGCCAAUUUAGGAAACUUUUUGGCUUAUUCAUUCAUUAUUUUCUUGUGAGGUUGAAUUCUUAUAGUUUUCAUGCAGUGGUCCAUCCAGGUUUAGUUGGGAUCAGAACACCAAAGCUUGGGUUUAUAGGCGCACAAAAGCGAAUUUGUUGACGAUUUUUGAAAGUGAAUUGGAGCAACUAUGUGGCGAAUCUAUCAAACUUAGUUGUAGUAAAUUUUCUUGAUUUGCAGAAUAUUCUUUUUCAGGAAAUUUAACUCUGUAUUAUUAUUUAUGUUUGGCACUCUUACCAGAUCAAAUCUUUUAGGAUUUUUUCUUUAUGAUAAUGUAUAUGUUAGACAAGUAUUCCAGUUGCCUAAAUCUAUUCAACAAUAAUGGUAAUGAGAAUUAUUUA